CGCUGCACUGCGGUCUGUCAGAGGAAGAAGGGAGCAUUGUCCAGGAGCUGUAGGAUUCCCACUGCAGCUGCACCUCCUGGAAAGAAACCAGGAGAAACGCCCUGCAAGCUGAACCUCAGCACAGAUGUCCCUCAAAUUUCAUUUUCGAGGAAACUCCUGAUAUCUACGGAAUAUCUGCUUCUGCAUCUGCUUAAUUAAGAACAUUUGUCUAGCUGCAAGACUCAGUUCAUCAAGAACAGGCAUUAAAAAAAGAAACAGCAAGAACCCAAUGGGGGAAGAAACGAAGAGCCUGCCUUUUGGGUUCCCAGCUCUCCCUGAAAUAACUAAUUAAAGCCAUUCAUAAGGCAACCUGCACUAAUGGCUAGACACAGGCUACUCUUGCUCGGCGUUGGCUGCAGCAUGUACACCCUGUGGAACAACUUAUUUACUUCUCUAGUCUCUUUCUCCUCCAUGUAAGAUAAGGCUAAAAGAAGGCAAGGCCGCGUGUAACGAAGUAGAGCUAUCAGUAAGGAGGUGCUCCUCUUUUAAUGGCAUCUCAGUUGUAUACAGCCCAUGUGAAAUCUUUCUCUUUGCCAUCCCCAUGGUCCUGUUGGAUCCCCUCUCAUGAGACCAGCAUCCAGCAACCAGCAGAGAGGCAAAACUUUGACUCUUCCUUCUUUCUUAAUGGAAUUUCUUAAUGGACAUUUUCUUGCUUGUCUAGGAUUAUGAGUUAAUUCCCAGACAAAGGGAAAUGAAUGACAAAUACUGCAUAUUGACUUGAGAUUGGCACUACUGGUCAGAGAGAAGAGCACACCCCAGUUUUCUCUUGCAAGCAGCUAACACAUAAGGGAAAGCUUUCCAGUAGCAAUACCAUGGCAAGCAAACACUUCCACCUUCUUCUUCAGCAGGUCACAUAACAACUGAUUGCACUGAGAUGGAGGACAAAACUCCACAAAGCAGGAGAAGAGAGGAAGAAUUGGAAAGGUUGGAAAAAAAGUUAACGCUCAAAGUCUCUCUUCCAUUAGAACCUCUUGGUUUCUGCACAGAGCACCAGAAGCCACCACCAGCCACAACCUUGCUGUCACCACAGAGCUUCUCUCCUGUGUUGGAAAACAUUUCAAAAAGUGCUGGAGGUGGAGGCAACACCCAAUUCUGCAAUAUAUGGGAUAACUACAUUUUGUUAUUGGAAGUCCCUGGUGGUUUUAUCCUAUUGAAGACCUGAAUGCUAUCAAUCCCUCUCAGCCACUUGCAGACAAGGGAGCAGCGGAGCAGGCUAGACUUCAAAUGACCACAUCAUCUGCAGAGGCCCCAAAGGGUUAAUAGUGACUUACUAUUCCUUGAGACAAAACAAGGCGU